rnacentral:rRNA from 1 species
AUACGGAGGGUGCAAGCGUUAUCCGGAAUCAUUGGGUUUAAAGGGUCCGUAGGCGGAUAAUUAAGUCAGGGGUGAAAUCCCACAGCUCAACUGUGGCACUGCCUUUGAUACUGGUUAUCUUGAGUUAUAGGGAAGUAGAUAGAAUAUGUAGUGUAGCGGUGAAAUGCAUAGAUAUUACAUAGAAUACCAAUUGCGAAGGCAGUCUACUAUCUGUAUACUGACGCUAAGGGACGAAAGCGUGGGGAGCGAACAGGAUUAGAAACCCCUGUAGUCC